AUUGAACGCUGGCGGCAGGCCUAACACAUGCAAGUCGAGCGGAUGAAGGGAGCUUGCUCCUGGAUUCAGCGGCGGACGGGUGAGUAAUGCCUAGGAAUCUGCCUGGUAGUGGGGGAUAACGUCCGGAAACGGGCGAUAAUACCGCAUACGUCCUGAGGGAGAAAGUGGGGGAUCUUCGGACCUCACGCUAUCAGAUGAGCCUAGGUCGGGUUAGCUAGUUGGUGGGGUAAAGGCCUACCAAGGCGACGAUCCGUAACUGGUCUGAGAGGAUGAUCAGUCACACUGGAACUGAGACACGGUCCAGACUCCUACGGGAGGCAGCAGUGGGGAAUAUUGGACAAUGGGCGAAAGCCUGAUCCAGCCAUGCCGCGUGUGUGAAGAAGGUCUUCGGAUUGUAAAGCACUUUAAGUUGGGAGGAAGGGCAGUAAGUUAAUACCUUGCUGUUUUGACGUUACCAACAGAAUAAGCACCGGCUAACUUCGUG
rnacentral:rRNA from 1 species